rnacentral:rRNA from 1 species
GAGUUUGAUCGUGGCUCAGAUUGAACGCUGGCGGCAUGCCUUACACAUGCAAGUCGAACGGCAGCAUGAUCUAGCUUGCUAGAUUGAUGGCGAGUGGCGAACGGGUGAGUAAUACAUCGGAACGUGCCCUGUAGUGGGGGAUAACUAGUCGAAAGAUUAGCUAAUACCGCAUACGACCUGAGGGUGAAAGUGGGGGACCGCAAGGCCUCAUGCUAUAGGAGCGGCCGAUGUCUGAUUAGCUAGUUGGUGGGGUAAAGGCCCACCAAGGCGACGAUCAGUAGCUGGUCUGAGAGGACGAUCAGCCACACUGGGACUGAGACACGGCCCAGACUCCUACGGGAGGCAGCAGUGGGGAAUUUUGGACAAUGGGCGAAAGCCUGAUCCAGCAAUGCCGCGUGUGAAGAAGGCCUCGGUGUAAG